UAAUGGUGGCUAUAGCGCAGGGGCCCACCUCUUCCCAUUCCGAACAGAGAAGUUAAGCCCUGCAGCGCCAAUGGUACUUGGGUAACACCUGGGAGAGUAGGUCGCCGCCAACCC
rnacentral:rRNA from 1 species